rnacentral:lncRNA from 1 species
UAGAGGUGUCUAAAUAGUUGAGUAUACUAAGUGCAUGCAAAAAUUUGUGUUAAUCUUACAGUACAGAUAGAAGAUAUUUGAUCAUUAGUAUAAAGAGGUAUCAGAAGUUGACAUAUUGGAGUUGUUUAAGGUUUUUGUAAUAUCUGAGAUCUACCAAAUGGAAUAAGAUGAAUUUUGACAUGGUAAGUUAAGGACUUAAAGGUGGAGCUGCAUCCAAAGUUUGAAUGAGAAUUAACGAUCAGAGAAGGAGAAAUUGCAAGUUAAAGUUCGUCAUCAACCUUCUAUGCGGCGAUCAAGGAACUUCAG